rnacentral:lncRNA from 1 species
CAGCAUGUGGCCUUGGCCCAGUGCCUCCUUGCAGUCUGUGGAUUGUGCAACUGCCUUCUGUGGCUCAGGGACAUGACAGCCCCAUCCAGCUUAUAAAUGACUGAAGACAGAGAUCCAGCAUAGUCUUCAUUUGAAUUCUCUGAGACAGGACCUCACUCCGUUACGCAGGCUGGAGUUCAAUGCCACAGUCAUUACUUCACUGCAGCCUCAAACUCCUGGGCUUAAGCAAUCCUCCCGCCUCAGCCUCCUGAUUAGGUAAGACUAUAGGUGCACACCAUCACACUCAGCUAGUUUUUAGUAGAGGCAGGGUUCUCACUAUGUUGCCCAGGCUCGUCUUGAACUCCUGGCCUCAAGCAAUCCUCCCACCAUGGCCUUCCAAAGUGCUGAGAUUAUAAGUGUGAGCCACCAUGCCUAGCCUACUGACAUUGUUUUUCAACUUCUUAGUUUCUUUAAGGGUGUUUUCUCUUUAUUUUAUCUUGAUGACCCACCGCUUUCACAAGUCAAUGAAAACAAUAUACUGGCUUGGUGAAAACAGUUCCAGAUCCACCUGAAGAGACUUGGGUGCUCUGGGUUUCAGAAAGGCCAGGGUUAAAUGUGCACCCGGGCCCCUGGUGGCUGCACUUGCCUACCGCAGACUACUAAAUGCUAAUGGAGCAAACUCCAGUUGCUGAUCCAUCCUAGAGCUGGAGUCUUCACUCUGCUGAUUCAAAAGAACACCAGAGCAUUUUCUAACCUGUACACAAAUCUGCUCUGUGGAUGGGAACCCUACUACCCUCUCCUGCACACAACCACUUCAGUCAGUGUGCUCAAAUAGUUCUCACUUGAUCAUUUUUGAGGGAAAUACCAGGCACAAUUUAGUUGUUUUAAUCCUAAGAGAAAAAUGUUGGUUUCUGCUGAGUCAGUAUCUGGUAUUUUAACUAGCUUAGCUUUCCCUGCGGCUCAGGCCAAGGGUGUGCCUUCCUGGAGUGAAGGACUUUCACAGCCCAGCUCUCUGGUAUGGACCCAAUGUCACUGACUACUGAUUCUGCUCAGGCCUCUGGAAAGCCCCUUUGGAAGUUGGGUGUAGCCAUGUGGCUUUCUUGAAUCAGUGAAAUGUGAGCAAAUUGAUGGUGUCGCUUCUGGGCAGAAGUGGUGAGAUCCAGGAAUCCGACAGGCCACCCACCCACUCCCUGCAUUCUCAUUUCCUGCCUUGGUAAUUGUAAAAGGAUGUUCUGUGAUGUUGUUGCCUGAAUUAGGCAGGGACAAUAAAUACAUUUUUUGGACGGGUAAAAAAUAUCUUCCAUUCCUAAUGUUAAAAAAUAUUCUUCU